ACGUCUGUCAUUUUUGCAUAAGUUAAAAGUUCUCCGUCUCUUAUUCCACAACAUUUUGGUGCCGAAACCUGGGAAUAGGGACGUCAAAAGAUGGAUAUCGACAGAAUCAAGCGAAGAAGGGCCGUGAUGCGAACAUCUACAACCAAGCUGCUCAAUGAAGUAUCCACCAUGGACGGCAGCGCAUCAAUCGCAGUUUGCUUUCUUGGCUGUCUGCACUACGCAACCUCCCCUGCAGAUCCGGCUGCGUACACGUGCCUGCAGGAGCGUUGAUCCGCCCCUUCUGCUGCAAGCGGGGUGCCAUCAGCAGCUAGCGACCAUCUGCAGCCUGGGCCCCGACGUCACGUACCCGAGCUUCAAAUGGAGCUGUUCACCGACGGAAUCUUCACUUGGCGGCAGCGACGGCUUACUGCAAGCAGCAACUUAGCGCGUCUCUGCCUUUUUGCAGCAGACCUACGAGACAAGUGGAAACAAGCCCUUGGCUUCACUUUUGACUGGAAACACGUUCGCAUGUGUGAAAAAAAUGUUGAUGUCGAAGACGUCAUUUUUGC